GAGAGUGAAAUAGUACGUGAAAUUGUUGAAAGGGAAACGCUUGAAGUCAGUCGUGCCGGCGUUGGAUUCAGCUUGCUUCGCGGAGCAGGCGUAUUUCCGCGCAUGGCAGGUCAGCGUCAGUUUUGCGCGGCGUGAAAAGGCUCGGGUAAGGUAGCUCUCUUCGGGGAGUGUUAUAGACCUGGGCAGAUGCGCUGCGCGGGACUGAGGAUUGCAGCGGACACCCCCUCGGGGGCGCGGCGACCGAACCCUGCUCGGCCACCCUCGUUCGAUAGCGUGCUAGCGGACGCGGGAGCGGCGGUGCACCGGAACAGGCAAGCCAGCGGUUCGCUAAGGAUGCUGACGUAAUGGCUUUAAACGA
rnacentral:rRNA from 1 species